rnacentral:rRNA from 1 species
CACAUGACUCUCGGCAACGGAUAUCUUGGCUCUCGCAUCGAUGAAGAACGUAGCAAAAUGCGAUACCUGGUGUGAAUUGCAGAAUCCCGUGAACCAUCGAGUUUCUGAACGCAAGUUGCGCCCGAGGCCUUUUGGUCGAGGGCACGUCUGCCUGGGCGUCACGU